CGUGUAGGCGGCCUGGUAAGUACCUUGUGAAAUCCCCCGUCUCAACCGGGGCACUGCUUGGUAUACUGCCGGGCUUGAGGUGGGUAGGGGUGCCUGGAACUCUAGGUGGAGCGGUGAAAUGCGUAGAUAUCUAGAGGAACGCCUGUGGCGAAAGCGGGGCACUGGGCCUAUCCUGACGCUGAGGCGCGAAAGCGUGGGUAGCAAACGGGAUUAGAUACCCCGGUAGUCCACGCCGUAAACGAUGCGCACUAGGCAUAUUGGUCUCUGACGGCCAGUGAGCCGAAACAAAAGCGUUAAGUGCGCCGCCUGGGGAGUACGGCCGCAAGGCUAAAA
rnacentral:rRNA from 1 species